ACUAAAUGCAUAGCAUCGUGAAGAUACAAAACGCCCUCUAAAAUCCUUGCAAACAGUAAAAUAUAACAGUUACGUAGGCCUUUAGACAUUACACCGUGAAUAUGCUUAUUUCGUCUGUUUAUGUGUUUCUCGAGUGUUUCUUCGCAAAGAGCCAUUUGUAUGUACAAACAUAAGGGCUGUUGAUCAAAGCUGGGAAUAUUGGAACAUUCAUCUUCCUCUCUUUCGGAUAGAAAUGAAUCCAUAAGUAACAUUUCAGAAGCUGACUUCGUUGGCGCCAACUUUCCUAAUGUGUCGACUUGUGAUGUUGUUGAAGAACAAUCAUGUGACUCGGCAUAAUCCUGAUCGGCCUCUUUCUUGAAAAGAUCAGUCAAGUUGCAAGUCGAAUUUUUGGUAGAGUAACAAGGAGUUAAAUCAUCUGCAACCGAGUCCUCUUGGAAUAGUAUCUGAACUGAUGAAGGAUAAGUAUGCUGAAGUAACCCAGUAUCCAUAUCAAACAUAAAAUUAUCUAUAUCUGCUGAUUGAGAUAAUGUCUCAUCUGCCGAAGCUAAAGGUUCUUCUUCGAUUUGCUUUUCAGAUGACGGUAAGAGCUCGACCCAACUAGAAAAGAAUCUUAUCACAUUGGGAUGGUUUAAUCUUGCCAAGGUCCUAGAUUCACGGAAUAUGUUAGAAGAAGUGGAGAAAGAACGUAACCGAAGUGGAAUUUUUUUUAAAGCAUAUUCAACUCCAUCGAAUUUAUUUCGAGCUUUAUACACUGAACCAUAACCGCCUUUACCAAGUAACUCAAGUUCUUCAAAAUCACUUGCAUAUCUUGACCUUUGGACUGUGGGAAAGCUAUCAAAGUUGCUAAAAGACAAGUUACCGGUUCCAUCUUUGUGCUCACAAAAAUCAGCAAACGUGGAGGACUCCAAAGUGGUUUGUGGAAAGCAAGAUUCCAAUGCUUCAACUGGUAAAUGAUUUAACCUAUUAGACAAUACGUUUACUGAAGGCUUGACAUUCAUCACAUCGUCUUCGUAUCCACCAUCACUCAAUACGCUCAAGAAGGAAGCAGUUUUCGCCAAAACGCCAUCAGGGCUGGAAUACCUCGAUUUCUUAGAAUCCUUAGUAGAGCUCAUGGGUAAGGUACUCCGAAAAGCUUUAGAUAAGAGGUUAUGAAGAGAAUCGGCAUAAGCAUUACGAAUUGGUUCAAGCUCCUCGGAGAACUCAAAAUCUAUGAUACCUGAAUUUUGAAGCGAAUGAGCAACAUAUAAAAACAUUUGCUUCGAUUGCUCUGGAGUUUGAUCAGAAUGCUUACAAAAGCUUUCUAACAACGCAACGAGAAGCAACUUGCAGGAACUUUGAGUAUCCGCGGUUUUUUUUUCGAAAUUCUGUUUGUAACCGAGACCAAUUGUCGGCAUAAUCCGACUGAUAUUUUCCUUGGCAUAGUUGCAAUCCCUUUUCGAACAUUUAGUAGAAGUGCCGAGCAUUCUUGUGUGAAUGAAUCAAAUCAAAGCAAAUAAGAAAAGAGAAAGAAGA